GUGGGGAAUAUUGGGCAAUGGGCGAAAGCCUGACCCAGCAACGCCGCGUGAAGGAAGAAGGUUUUCGGAUCGUAAACUUCUAUCCUUGGUGAAGAUAAUGACGGUAGCCAAGAAGGAAGCCCCGGCUAACUACGUGCCAGCAGCCGCGGUAAUACGUAGGGGGCAAGCGUUGUCCGGAAUGAUUGGGCGUAAAGGGCGCGUAGGCGGCCUGGUAAGUCUGGAGUGAAAGUCCUGCUUUUAAGGUGGGAAUUGCUUUGGAUACUGCUGGGCUUGAGUGCAGGAGAGGUUAGCGGAAUUCCCGGUGUAGCGGUGAAAUGCGUAGAGAUCGGGAGGAACACCAGUGGCGAAGGCGGCUAACUGGACUGUAACUGACGCUGAGGCGCGAAAGUGUGGGGAGCAAACAGGAUUAGAAACCCUUGUAGUCC
rnacentral:rRNA from 1 species